rnacentral:rRNA from 1 species
AGAGUUUGAUCCUGGCUCAGGACGAACGCUGGCGGCGUGCUUAACACAUGCAAGUCGAACGGACCAAGUGGAUAGCUUGCUAGAAGCUUGGUUAGUGGCGGACGGGUGAGUAACACGUGGAUAAUCUGCCUUUGACACUGGGACAACACUGUGAAAACGGUGCUAAUACCGGAUACCUUAGUUAGUUCACAUGAAUUGAUUAAGAAAGGAGCAAUCCGGUCAAAGAUGAGUCCGCGGCUGAUUAGCUAGUUGGUGAGGUAACGGCCCACCAAGGCGACGAUCAGUAGCCGGCCUGAGAGGGUGAACGGCCACACUGGGACUGAGACACGGCCCAGACUCCUACGGGAGGCAGCAGUGGGGAAUCUUCCGCAAAGGACGAAAGUCUGACGGAGCAACGCCGCGUGA